AUUUUUGUAUCCUUUGGAUAAAUACCUAGCAGUGCAAUUGCUGGGUCAUAGGGUAGGUCUAGUUUUAAUUUUUUGAGAAACCUCCAUACUGUUUUCCAGAGUGGCUGCACCAGUUUGCAUUCUCACCAGCAGUGCAAAAGAGAUCCUCUUUCUCUGCAUCAUCGCCAACAUCUGUUGUUGCCUUGAAUUGUUAAUGUUAGCCAUUCUGACAGGUGUGGGGUGGUAUCUCAUUGUGGUUUUGAUUUGUAUUUCCCUGAUGAUAAGUGGUGUUGAGAGCAUCUUUUCAUGUGUCUGUUAGCCAUCUGGAUGUCUUCUUUGAAGAACUCAUUUUCUUCUGGCAGUGAGACAGACUUCAGGCAUAUCACCUUUAUCCAGUAAGACAAAAAUGGUACAACUAGACCAUACCUGUGGCACAGUGAGACUUCUGGAAAUGACAACAUCACUCAGGAUGCAGUGUUACUUCUGUCAGCAGAUUUUCUUCUUAGAUGAUGAAUCACCUGCCGUAAUGAAGAAGGAAAUGUGAAACAGUGGCCUGUACAUGGGAAGAGUUCAGUGCAGCUGGAAGUUUCCAUGGGUUGGAAUCCAGAGCAUCUCAGCUGGGUGCCUCAGAUUUCAGGGAUCCUUCACAGACUACAUCAAGGUGGUAGAGGGACUUCAGUCAUCUUGAGGCUCAAAUGGGGUAGAUCACUCACCUGGUUGUUGGCGGAGACUUCUCACCGGCCGGAGACUUCAGUUCCUUGGUACGUGGGCUGCUCCAUAAGAGCAGUUUACGGCAUAGCAGCCGGCUUUCUGCAAGCCAAAGAACACCUAAGACACCUAUGAUGGAAGCAGCAGUCUUUAUUUUUCUUUUUCAACUUUGGGAAGAGCACAGGCAGAGGAGGGGCGGAGAGAUGGAGGACAGAGGAUCUGAAAUGGGUCUUCACUGACAGGCUAACACAGCAAGCCCAAUGUGGGGCUCAAACUCAUGAACCACGAGAUGAUGACCUGAGCUGAAAUCAGACACUCAACGGGCUGAGCCGCCAGUUAACCUAAGCUCAGAAGUGCUAUCCCAUCAUUCCCAUCCUAUUCAUUAGAAUCAAGUUACUAGGUCCAGCACAUACUGAAAGGAGAGGAUUCCAUGACAGUAUGGGUGCCAGGAAGUGGGGACCAUGGGUGGCCAUCUCAGAGGCUACCACAGUGAUCAAGUAUGCUUCCUGGACCCAAACUGGGAGUGGGAGAGACGAGGGGUGGAGACUGGGCUCCCAGUUAGGCAUGGAACACACAGGAGGGCAGAGCAAAGGUGUCUAGAAGGGGCAGCUAGGGGGAUUGGAGGGGGGAUGGGAGACCAACAGCAGAGAAGGGAAAGAGAACCUGGUGGAAUGGGGAGAGGCAGGUGGUAGAAGAGGGGAGUUGAAAUGAAGGACAUAAAUUAUAAGAAAGCAGGAUGGAGAGUGAAUUGGAUGAGUCGAAAGGAAUAAAGACUGAGAGUGGAGAGCAGAAACAGGAGGGAAAGAGAGCUGGGAAGCCAAAGGCUUCAGCAGACAGUGCAAGAGGGCA